AGUAAAUAUUAGGUUGGUCGAAAAGUUCGUUCAGGUUUUUCCAUAACAUCUUACAAACUUUUUGGCCAACCCAAUAAGAUCAGUAGCUG
rnacentral:miRNA from 1 species